rnacentral:tRNA from 1 species
AGGAGAGUAGCUCAAAGGUAGAACGACCGGCUGUUAACCGGGCGGCUGCAGGUUCGAGUCCUGCCUCUCCUGCCA